AUGAACGCUGGCGGCGUGCCUAAUACAUGCAAGUCGCGCGAACAGACGAGGAGCUUGCUCCUUUGACGUUAGCGGCGGACGGGUGAGUAACACGUGGAUAACCUACCUAUAAGACUGGGAUAACUUCGGGAAACCGGAGCUAAUACCGGAUAACAUGUUGAACCGCAUGGUUCAACAGUGAAAGACGGUCUUGCUGUCACUUAUAGAUGGAUCCGCGCCGCAUUAGCUAGUUGGUAAGGUAACGGCUUACCAAGGCAACGAUGCGUAGCCGACCUGAGAGGGUGAUCGGCCACACUGGAACUGAGACACGGUCCAGACUCCUACGGGAGGCAGCAGUAGGGAAUCUUCCGCAAAGGGCGAAAGCCUGACGGAGCAACGCCGCGUGAGUGAAGAAGGUCUUCGGAUCGUAAAACUCUGUUAUUAGGGAAGAACAAAUGUGUAAGUAACUAUGCACGUCUUGACGGUACCUAAUCAGAAAGCCACGGCUAACUACGUG
rnacentral:rRNA from 1 species